GCAGAAACAGCAUGUUUCUAGUCUCAAACCUCUUUCACAGGACAAUCCUCCAUUCAACAUCACAAUGGCUUCUUCUCUCCUAAGGGCUAAAGCCCAAGUCCUUACCUAGGUAUCCAGGCCUUCCAUCACCUGAUCCCUGAACAGCGCUCCAGGCUCACCUCUCCUGUCCCAGCCACGCCCAAUCAUUUGUAGCAGCCCGCCCCCCACCCAUGUCAAGCCCUUAUUUCCUCUGUGUCUUUGCUCACGCUGGCCCCUCUGCGAGAAACCUGUCUUUUUCCUACUCUUCUCCUGGCUAACAUUCAUCCUCUAAAACAGAGACUGUACAUACGUGGAGCUGACUGCCACUCCCCCAAGGGGUAUCCGUGGAAGAUAUUGCUAAGAGACUGUGGCAUUCUUUCCUGCUGGGCCAAAACUGGGCCUCAAAAAUCCAUCUCAGAAAAGUGACUGUGAUAGCCUCUCCCUACUGAUUGCCACUGGUGCACAAAAUGAAACUGGUGUGUGGUUUCAGGAUAUGACACCACCACCUACUGCGAGCUAUUCCCUGGUCAUCUGCCCUAUUCCUCCAGAGAUGGGGGCUGUCUGUGCUCCCAUAGCCCUGUGCAUAAUCCAUAACUCAUCUAGGAACUGAGGCGCCUAGACUAUUAUGAUCUUCAAGAUUCCUUUCAACUCAAAAUCUUCAUGAUUUAAAGGUAAAUGUCGUAACCCUCUCUUCUCACCAAAUCAUUCAAAUCUGUUUUGGAUAAUUAUGUGUAAUCCUAUUAACUGACCAUAAACACAAUGACUAAUAGCAUAUUGGGGAUACACAUUCCAUAAACCACAUGUCCAGGAAGUAAGUAGUAUAUUAGGUCAUUGUGGGAAACCCACUAAUUCUUUCUGGUCUCCAAAGGGACUACUCAGAAGAAGUUCGUUUUAGCAACAAAGAGACUGUUCUAUUAGGAAUACGAAGAGUUAAUUCUCCCCAAACUUUAUUGCCUUUCCGAAGAUACAAGUUUUAAGAAAAAUAAAAACCUUUCAACACCCAAAUCCCAUACCCAUAAGUUAAACUGAAACCCUUGAAAGGGAACCACAAAUCUUUUAUAAUAAAAAUGACGCAGACAUCCUAAGAAAAACAAACAUCCCCAAAAUAAACAAUAACAACAAACAAACUUAUGAGCAAAACUGAAAGCAGUCAUAAAAAGCUUUUUGAUAUUUUUCUUUGGUGAUUUUAUCACAAUAUAUUGGUUCAAUUAGAGUAGACAAAAUCUCUAGAGGCUUUAAAAAAAAAAAAAAGGUAGGAUGUACCUCAGCAAUAAUAAAGUUCCAAAUCAUGACAGGCAAAAUUCCAAUAAGAAGAAUGAAUGAGCAAUAAGAUUCUUCUAUAUUUUCUAAUCUUGAAAUAUAGACAUAUAUUGCAUAAUAAUAAUAAUAUUUAAUGAGAUAGUUAUAGAGGAUGGUGGUUAGAAACAUGGAUUCAAGCCUAAAACCAUAAUACAGCCGCACAACUUACUAGCUGCACAGCCUUAAGCAAGUCACUAAACCUCUCUGUGUCUCAAUUUCCUCACAGGUAAAUCAGAGACAAAAAUAGUAGUUCUAUCAGAGAGCUAUUGUGACAAAUAAAUGAGCCAAUACAUGCAAUACAUGUAAAGGGCUGGCACAUAAAAGUCAGAUAUAACUAUUUCAUAAUUAUAUAAUAAACAACCACCACUAUAGAAUCAAGCCUGACUUUUUAGAAAAACCUAAGGAAAAAAAAAGGAACUUUACAUUCACCCAGUUCUCUGCUGGUUAUCUGUUCUGCUAUGGAGCUCAUGUCCAGUAGGGAAGUAGAGCAAGCCACUCCAGUGAGGUCCACCCAUGCCCUUUGCCCUUUGAGUCUGGGGCUGAUCCUUCUGUCUCCUGACACUGAGGCAGAUUUGGGGAUUAGGGCUCUUCCCCAGCAGCCUCUUAUCCCAAAGGGUAAGAGAAGCAGCUCACAGCAAUUGCUCCCCUGCCUCCCCUGUGUCUGAUUUUUAGCUUUUAGCACCUCCUCCUCUCAAUAGUAGUCCAAAUAUGGUUCUGUUUUCUAUUAGUUUCCCUUCUUGCCUCUGGUUUUGAUUCUGAUCCUCCAAAGAUAAUGAGAAGCAUAACAACACUCAUUUUGCAGUGAGGAAUGCUUUCCCCACUGGAUUCAAGAUAUCUUUUGUUCUCUAAUAUCUCAGGCUUCCUUCUACCUGUUCUUAUUAGAGAGUCCUGGCCAAUCAUUCAGUCUCCCUUCUUUUCACUCUAUGUAUUCCCUCUAGAAAAUCAUACUCAUUCCUGUGUUCCACUCACCAUCUAUCUGAUGACAAGUCAUAAAUCUCUACCUCCAACCCAGAUCUUUCCUCUGAGCUUCAGACCCAUCCACAAUUGGUUAUCCUAUAUUUUCAACUGCUUCUCCAACUAAAUAUGUCCAAAACUGAACUAUUCAUCCUGCCUUCAAACCCUCACUUUCCCUGUAUUCCUUAGCAUGGUGGGCCACCACCCACACCACUGGCCAAGUCAGAAACCUGGGAUUCAACCUGGAGCCUCCUUCUCUUAUGUCAUACACAUAAUAAAUAUGAAAUCCCAUCUACUUUACCUUCCAUACCAUUAUUAACCAAUAAAAAGAAAUGUAUUCCUGGACAACAAUUUACCAAAACCACUAUUCCCUAUGUCAAAGAUUUAAUUAUGCUGAUGAAAUAAUUUCUUCUUGAUGAGACUCAAGCCAGCCAAGUGGUUUUGUACUCCUCAUCAUCAUCCUGUAGAUGAGAUGAAUUAUCUGCCUCUUCCUCCAAAUCCUUUCCACUUCUCCAUCUAAAGUGAGAAAGAUAGGAAGCUUAAUCCCAACUUAGCCUUUUGCUAGCCCCAUUCCUACUAACACUUAUUUAUAUUUUUUUUGCCAAUUAAAACUUCCCUGAAUUGUGGCCAUAUCAAUCAGAGGAAAGACAGGAGGACAAAUCCAAUCUAGCCCUUACGUUUUCACAUCAUUUUCUUUUAAGGCAUGGAGAUAUUCCUUGUUACACAGCACUCAUUUUUUUUUCCAUAUACCUCCAGCCAUAAAACAUACACACACACAAAAAUGACAGAGGCUAACCCUAAAACCGAUGGAAAAAGAUACUUAGACAAUGUGAUCCAUCCAUCCAACCUACCCACUGAUCAUUCUUGCAAAAUGGCCAAUGCCAUCAUUCAGGGACUGACUUUCCACUUCAUAUACGACCAAAUACUUACCAUGUUUUUCCCUUAUCUUGCUGUCUGUUAGCCAAUUUUCCUUAUCCCUUGACUACCUCCACCAGAAAGUGUGAUUAAAAACUUAAAAUUUAAAGGCCAAACAGUCCAUCUCACUACUGUUUUAUAACUCUGAUAAAGAUUUGGUGAGGUUGAAAUUCCGUCUCAGGGGAUUUCAAUUAUCUCUGCCUUUGAGGGCUAACUAUCAUUACAGCUAGUGAUACGCCAUGGACAGCUCACCUCCCAUCUCCCCAGUGUGGGGCAAACUAAUUAUUCUAUUUCCAAUUGAACAACAAAACUUGCUUUCCCUUCUUCCCCAGGCCCCUUUCUUUCUCCACUGAAGAGUACAAACAGCCAAAACAAGGAAGCCCUUAAAUAACAAAGAGUGAAAUGUGCUUUUAAACAUAACAGGAAACCUUACCAGAUCUCUCUUCCUGCCUCCUUCUAGCUAGCCUGGUCUGAGGCAGAUAAUAAUACAGGAAUGUUGACAUGUCCAAAGCCUACAUAAACAAACUGGGACAUUCUUGAAGUCUUGCAUCUAUGGCAGAAAAGCUUGCCUAAUCCCCAAAGUAGGUAAAAAUCAACAUGGGCAUAGAGAAAUACCACAUCCCUUUCCAUAUGGUUAUAUAUUGAUGCAGAAAUGAAUAUCCCACUUCCAGUUUCUUGAGGGAGGCAGAGCCUGUCCAGAUAACAAUUUGUGAACAAGUAAUUUGGCUUUACAGUCAACAGUGUCAACAAUACCUUCUGAGGCACAGGGUAACAGAGAGUUUUAAGUGCCAUUUAAAGAGGUUAUGCAAUAGCUGUCAAGAAAUUUCAGAGGAAAAAAAAUAUUUGGUAUCUAGGUUAAGUUAAUAUCACACUUCCUCUCUUCUAAAUCUCCUUGGAAACUAUUAUUUGACCCAAAUGAGUCAGAUAAUUUCUUAAGGAGGGCUCCAGCUGCAAAUAUGAGGAUAUGCAUUGUGCUAACUGUUUGCUGCUGAGUGCUGAUUGGGGAGUGAAAAGCCACCAGCAGCCCGAGGGAAAGUCCCAGUUUAGGGGAGAGGCAAAAAUUGAGUGGCAGCACUGUGGCAACCCCAGUGAGCUGGAAGAGCACAGGGAAUCUCAGCAAGAGGCUAUGUGGAGGAUGGUUCUCAUUCCUUGGGGGAGGGAUCCUGAAAAAGUACAGUUGCUGUCUUCCAAUCAAGGAAUGGACAAGCAAGAUUUUUCCUAACGCCAGUGAGAAAAUCUAUACCAGUCUGAGAGAUGGAGAACAGGCCUUGCUCUGGGUAUAUUCUAAUCACCUUUGAUGAAACAUACUCCGGCAUAAGAUGAGCCAGCGUGUGGCACCUGGCAUUUCAUUAAACAAUUGCACUGACUUAGAGGAUGCCCAGGAACCCAGACCACUACAUACACCAAAUCUCUUUUCUGAAAAUCCAUGGAGAAAUUUUUCCAGGUAAAGCUGUGUUUCAUCUGGAGCAAUCAUUUUGUUUUUACUUUAUAGAUACUAUAAAUCUGUCGUAUGUUAAACUUUUUGCUUGUGUUUAGCAUAUAACACAUGCUCACUAAAUAUCUGCUAAUGAAUGAGUGAAUUAAUAAAUUUUCUCCAUGCUCUGACCACUAAGCUGAGAGAAAAAUGUAAUACUUCAUCAAUUAAUUGCUAUAGGCAGGCCUGAUGGCACACUUUGAGUACUGACUCUAUCCCUGGCUUCACCUUUAUUUUCUGGGGUUAAUUUUAUCUUCAUUCGUUUUACCCUAUAAGCCAUUUACAUCCUUUCCUGGAAAAACAAGACGGGAUAAAAAUGUUUAAGAUUUGAUUAUAAAUUUCCACAAUUUAUGUUGACACUAUAGCCUUGGCUAAGAUGGCCUUACACUUACCUGUUUUCAAUUCCUGUUCUCUCAUCCCCUCAAAACAAUUAAGGUUGAAUUGUGGACAAAUUUUCUAUUUCAAAAUGUAUUACUAAUUUACUUUGACUCUACUAUCAAACUGGUUCUUCUUCAAAAGCAGAGAUGUUACAGUAUCUUAUUUUCACCUUUGUAUGUUUACAAGACAGCUGGAUCAAUGUGGAUGAGGUUUUUUCGUAGAGUUAGUAUCAUUUUGGAAAAUGGAUGAGAAAGACAUACAAAUUUAAAAUUAUGAAAAAAGGCUAAAUGCUAAUUUAGAUCUAAUUUAGAUUCUCUGGAGAAUUACAGCAUGGGUAAAAUAUGAAAGGCUUUAUUUAAACUAAAAUGUGGCUUCAGGAGUGAUUUAGGUGUGUUGUAGCAAAACAGAGAGAAGGGGAAUGAUGAACUCCUGGGUGUUCUGUUAUCUCAUUUAACAUCAGAAUUCUCUUCCCAGUGAAAUGAAAACUAUUCUUCCUCUAUUACAUGCCUUCCCAGGACCAACAGAGAUGGGUUCUAGCAGCAUACAUUUAAUUCAUUAUCUCUGAAACUAGACUUAGUUCAUGCCAGGACCAUUUUCUGCCCUGUUUUAUUUCCUCUGCUUUCUUUCAACCUACAGGUUCACGCCACAAAACAAAAUUACAAUUCUGAGACAUUUUUGGUAAAAAUUUUCCUUACCGGGAUCAUAAUUUUAUUUUUUUUAUCCUUAAUUCCCUCCCAUAUUUACCACAAAAAUGUAAAUUCACGCUAUAAAUAUCACACAUGUGCAUACUGUGCAAAAAAAUACAAAUGGGCAGUAAGAGGAAGGGAGUAAGUAAGGAGGAAAAGUUACCAUGGAUGCUGUUAAGUUAAAUAUAACACCUCCUCCUCUACGAGGCCGUCCAAAUAUUUUGAUCUACUUUUUAUAGACUCUUAUUUUAAAAAUAGAUGGACCAUUGAUUGACAGUAAGUUUUUUCUUAUAAAGAUAUUAUGCUAUAAAAUAUGUAUGGCAACGGGAUUUGAUAUUCAACUCUCUGAGGAUGAUAUUUAAUGCUGACACUCCUAUCUCCCAAAGAGCUCACGCUGGCCCCAAACAAGGGGCUCCAAAGGGUUAUGGAAAACGACCUGGAGAGUUAGAUAUGCUGACAACGAAGGAUAUCCAGGAUUCCUUGUGGAGCGAAAAAAGGAAAAUGCACAGGAUGAACAACAUGAUCUCAUUUGUGUAAAAGCAAAACAAGAAAGCACCUAUGUAACUGUGAGAAAGCUGUUUUUAUCUGUCCAGUGUGUCUCUCUCCCAAGCCCUAUCUCCUUUCUGAUCCUGUCUUCUUGCCUAUGGGGAACCUUGUAUGUUUUGGAGUGAACUGACUCCAUCUUCCCCCCAGGCUGAGCAUGUAACUAAGUCCUGGCCAAUCAGUGAAAUCCUGACUGUUUGGUGAGACGUGUCAGGAAUGCCUUGUUCCUUCCCCUGAGGUUGCUCGGCUGGUGAUGCUGACAGAGCCAGACUGCUGUCAUGAGGAAAAUGCCUGAAUGUGAAGCAAGCAGAAGCAGGAUCAAGAACCACAGACAGAGGCCUGAUGGGGCUCGUUGAACCCCUGCAGCCAGCUGCUCUUAAUUACCCAAUUCAUGGUAUUAGCUUUUCAGUGUGUGUUGGAGGGUGGGGGAGAGUCUUAACUGGGUUUAAGCUGUAUUUCUGCAAUUCUCUGUGGAAAAUUUCCUGACACAAGAAUACUAAAAGAGCGAUGCAACGUGACUGGCUUUGAGAAUGGAUGGAAGGAGCCAAGAGCCAAGGAAUGCAGGCAGCUUCCAGAAGCUGGAAAAGGCGCGCACUCUCCCUAAAGGUUCCAGGAAGGAAUGCAGCCCUGCGGACCCAUACUGGACUCCUACCUACAGAACUGUAAGCCACCAAAAGCAAUUUCCUAAUACAGAAAGAUGUCAAAAGUUUCUAGAAGGAUCCCACAGUGUUAUCUCUGUGAAAUGGAAAUGGGGGUGGGAGAUGAAAGGGAAGUGUUUUAUAACAUUUUAAACAACAAAUAUAUAUUAUGUUCAUUAGUUUGAAAAACUAAUUUUAAACAUGUUUAAGAAUAGAACCUGACAAAUAUCUAAGAAUCACAGGUAUUGUAACCCACCCAGGAGACUCCAAAUAGGGCUGCUUUACACAUCUAACAGGGCAGCAUCAAUUUGGUCUCUGAGGAAUUCAGCAUCUGAAUUGUCUUAUUUAACACAAGGAGUCAGCCCCUCAGCCAGCACACCCCACUGCACACCACAUACCCAGUUAAACCAGGAUCCCACCAGAAGGCUUUCCCCUACCGUCCCCUGCAGGAGCCAGGACAGAACUCUCAGACAUGUUCUUAGAGCUGAUUUUGGAGACAGGGCUGGGGAGGCACUGAAGAGAAGCCAGAAUAGUAAUUGGCCUGCGAUUACAAUUUAGCAUACUUUUCAAUAGAAACCCAACAAAUUGCCAACAAAUUGCUAUGCUAAUGAAGAAUUGCCCUGCUCUGCAAUGAGCAUUUAUCAUGAGAGAAAGGACAACCCAUUCACGCCACUCUGUAGAACUAGCUGCCAUUCGGGAGGUCUCCUGCUGAAUUUUAAAAGGCUUCACGUAGGGAAAAGGGGAAAGCAUGAGAUGAGAGUUGGCUGUGUUCUCUCCAGUCUUUCUCUUAUCCAGUGCUUAAGAUACAAUGCCAGGGAGCAAGUUGGUGUAGCGUGCCUGCCAAUUGUGGCUUUCUACUAAUGAAUGCCCAGCACAGAGGCUACAUGCAGUAGAGUCAUCAAGAAGUUCAAGAAGUUUUUAAAAAAGAAAAAUAUCUGCACUCCCCCCAACUUCCAUAACUGACAAAUAAGCAAAUGGUGGUUCUCACAUUGAACACACACCUUUUCUAAAUUCUCUUUGCUUUACUUGGACAAGAAAAGUAAGUCUGACACAUUCUGCCAAGCUUAGGGAAAAGACAGUCCACUUGGCUACAUACAGAAUUCUUUGAUCUGUCUCAAAGUGAUGUCUCAGAGGGAAAUGCCCAGAGGACAAUGCCAACAGAUCAACACAGCCCAAACCACUUCACUGCUGUUUCACCUGCCAUUCAUCAGGCGUGAUGGGGAGAGAGAGGAACAGCCAUCUGUUCCACACACACUUCUCCUUCAAACUAACAGGAAAUUUAUAUUUUGAUUUUCUUUAUCCCCCUUCCUUUCCACCUUCCUCUUCUUAGUCCAAAAAGGAUAUGGCAUACAAAAAAUUAGCUGGGCAUGGUGGCUACUGUAAUCCCAGCUACUCAGGAGGCUGAGGCAGGAGAAUUGCUUGAACCUGGGAGGCAGAGGUUGCAGUGAGCCAAGAUCGCCCCACUGCACUCCAGCCUGGGCAACAGGGCAAGACUCCUCAAAAAAAAAAAAAAAAAGAUAUGGCUAGAGGGGUGAAGAAAAAUACCAAGGCAGAGGCCUAGUCCAAAGUAAAAUGUUUAAGGGAUCUUAACAAUAUUGUAAUGAUCAGUUGCUUAACUGUGUGACAGAAAUACUAAUAGUAAUUUGAGUAACAUGACAAAACAUACAACGCAUUUACCUAAAUACAGCUCUCAAUCUUUAUAACUUGUGACAUGUAUAAGGCAGAUAUUUUGCCUUGUUUUACUGAUGAAAGAAAGAGAAUAAACAUGUCAUUCUUA
rnacentral:lncRNA from 1 species